AUAUUUGCUCACGAUUGUGGUUUCUGAAUGCACCGCGUGCAUCAGGAUUAAAAGGGAAUCUCGUGAGAAACGAGAGCUGUCCCCGCAACUGUAAUUCCAUUCAAAGGCUUGUCACAUCUUGCCACUGUUCCGAACAUCGGGAUGGGAAGGCGACAAGUCAGGAAGAGCCAGGAGACCUGCCAAAUCAUGUUGAAUAGUU
rnacentral:ncRNA from 1 species